AAGCCCCCAGAAACCAAGCCAGAGGUGACAGUGGCAAGGAAAAACUCCCUAGAAGGAAGAAACCUUGGGAGGAACCAGACUCAAAGGGGGAGCCCAUCCUUUAUUAGGAACAUCCUUCUGAUGCUGGCAUUUCACUGACUGAGACAGACAGCUUGCUUCCAGUUGCAUCCCAGGCCGGAGACGAAGCUGGCGAUGCCAUGCACCUCCCACACGCCGUCAGCGCUCUUGCAGUUCAGGGGGCCGCCGGAGUCGCCCUGGAACAAGCAGGACAGUGUGUGAGCUGUUCAGUUCACCCUUUUAUCCCUCUGUAAUUAACUGAAGUGGAGGAGUGUCAGACAAGGGAGAAGAACACUAUGCAGAGCUCUUCCUUUAUGUAAAGAAGAGACAAUAAAUGCUUGUAUGAACAACUGUAAUGUAACACUC